AAAAGAAAACGGUAAGGGAUUAGUAAAUCAUUGGCAUGUGUAAGAGAGUGAAACCCAUAGGCUGAAAGGUUUCUCACGGAAAGAUGAUUGAACCUGCCCUCUGAAUACUGCUUAUGAAAACAUAAGCCGUUUCCCUCGUUACGGGUUAAAGUGGGUGCUAAUGCACCAAUUAAGGUGGUACCGCGGAAACGAUUCUUCCGUCCUUUUU
rnacentral:ncRNA from 1 species